AGAACGAACGCUGGCGGCAGGCCUAAUACAUGCAAGUCGAACGCACUCUUCGGAGUGAGUGGCAGACGGGUGAGUAACGCGUGGGAACCUUCCCAAUGGUACGGAAUAACUCCGGGAAACCGGUGCUAAUACCGUAUAAGCCCCUCGGGGGAAAGAUUUAUCGCCAUUGGAUGGGCCCGCGUCGGAUUAGCUAGUUGGUAAGGUAAUGGCUUACCAAGGCUACGAUCCGUAGCUGGUCUGAGAGGAUGAUCAGCCACACUGGGACUGAGACACGGUCCAGACUCCUACGGGAGGCAGCAGUAGGGAAUUGUUCGCAAUGGGCGCAAGCCUGACGACGCAACGCCGCGUGGAGGAUGAAGACCUUCGGGUCGUAAACUCCUUUCGACCGAGAUGAACUACCCCACGACUUAAUACUUUGUGGGCUGACAGUAUCGAGGAAGACGCCCCGGCUAACUCCGUGCCAGCAGCCGC
rnacentral:rRNA from 1 species